ACAAGCAGGCUUCAAAGAGACUGUCCAGUUAUUAUGUUUUUAACUGGAAACAUGUAUCAAGCCCUCACUUCCCAGCUAAGAAGUGGGGAAAGCGUGCUGGUAAGGGCAGGCGUGUUAAGACAUGUCAUGUGGUAGCAGCCGCGAUCAAACUGUUUUAUUUCCCUUUGCUCUUACGUCACCCCAUGCUACUCCAUUACCAGCGACACACAGAGCUCCCGUCUGCUGGAACCGGAACAGAAAGGAGGGCAGCACCAAAGGAAGAAAGCAGUGUUGGACGGUUCACGGAGAGAGGAGAGGCCAUGCACAGGAAAAAGCUGUCAGGGUGAUGACUCCUGUAGCUAGAGAAUAUGUGACAGUUGCUUGAUCUGCAAAAUUUAAUUUGUCUUCAGUUCAGACAGUGGGUUUUUUUGUUAUUGGUGAGUACUAAUCUAUAAAACAAUCUACAGGUUUAUUGUUUCUCUUAAAAGUGUCACAUUGUCUACUAGAUUUAUUCUGGAUUACUCUGAUGUGGAAAAAUAUGUAUCUGAAGUGCAUUCUCGUACAAGUUUCUAUAUAAAGCAAUUGUAUAAAGGCUUCGAAGUGCCAGUGGUAACUUCAUAUAUUAUUUAUGUAUCAUUGAUAAUUACUGAUAUAAAAGAUACAUUCAUGACCAACAACAGCAGUCUUUGCAUAGGUACUUAACUAGCAAUAUUUAGAGGUCUCUUCUGUACCGAAUAGAUCUGGAUCUAAUAGAUGGACUGUCAGAAGAUGUCUUCCUUGGGAGAUGCAUCUUUUUGUAUAGAACACUUCUUUUUCCUUCUCUCAUGUAGAAGUGUGCUGACUGUUCUAAUCCUUAUGAAAAUAAGGAGAAACUUUCAGCUUCAUAAUUUAUCAGUGAUUUUAUUUUCUUUUAUUUUUUUAGUUUUUACAAAAUUUACAUUGAAAAGGGCUACACAGGAGCACUGGAAAAAAUGUCUGACAUGUAAAAAGAUAUAGAAAGCUUUUAGAAAUGAGCUGACGAAGAAGAGAACAGCCAUAGGGAGAGGUGAGGAGGUGAAAGUUCUGCAUGCAGUUGCAAACAAAGAGAGAUUAGGUGGUUCAGCAUUUGGUUCCUUUAUCCUGCUGUGGUGCCUACCUCCCCAUUUUCCUUGCAUUGCUCUCUCAUAUUUUGCCCUUUUCAGUUCUCCUCUCAUUUCCUCCACCCUCUCCCUCUUUUGUGUAAUGGAGAACAACUGAAAACAAAGUUAUAACCUGUGAUUUCUUGAAGUUUCUUUUCUGUUUCAGUAUGUAUAUAUCUAAAAGGGCAUUAAGGGAUAAUUUUGACCCCCGUGAAUUUCCACAUGACACAUACCUACUAUGCAAACUGCAGUGGGGUGAUACUGGCAGACCUUGGAUACACUGGAUCAGAAAGGAUCAUUACCAUGCUGAAGUGUACUUCUUGGAGAAGAUCUUUAAGAUGAGAAGAUCCAAAAAUUUUGUCAACUGUUCCAUCACCUGGUACUUGUCCUGGAGCCCCUGUGUGAGCUGCUGCUGUGAAAUAUUGAAUUUCUUAGAGAAGCACUCAAAUGUGAACAUAGACAUAUAUGUAGCACGGCUUUAUAAAAUACAAAAUUCAGAAGUCUGUGAGGGUCUGAAGAAGCUUGUGAGCUUGAAGAAAGUAACCAUUGCUGUCAUGGAAAUUAAAGACUAUACUUACUGUUGGAAAGCCUUUAUCCAAGGAGAUGCUGACGAUGAUUCCUGGACUGUGGGCUUUCAAUCAGCGAUAACUAAGAAUCGUUUGAAGCUCAAGGAUGUCUUUGAGGAUCUUCCGUUCAUACAAUCAUAGAACUAUAGAAUAUCUCAAGCUGGAAGGGACCCAUAAGGAUUGAGUCCAACUCCUUGCUCCGUGGGGGACUAUGUAAAAAUAAACCAUAUGACUCAAAGUGUCAUCCAGAUGCUCCUUGAACUCCGCCAGGCUUGGUAUUGUGACCACUUCCCUUGGAGCCUGUUCCAGUGACCAACCAACUCUCAGUGAAGACCCUUUUCCUAAUGUCCAAGCUGAACCUCUCCUGAUGCAGCUUCAAUCCAUUUCCUUGUGUCCUGUCGCUGGUCACCGGAGAGAGGAGAUGAGCACCAGAAUUACCCCAUCUCAAAUGGAGAAUCCAGCACUCACUCCCAUUAAAUUUCAUAAGGAUGUGAUUGCCCAGCUCUCUAGUCUAUCCAGAUCUCUCCAUAAAGCCUCUUUACCAUCCAAGGAGUCCACAGCUAGUUUAGUACCUUUGGCAAACUUACUUAAUGUACAUUUGAUUCUUGUGUCCAGAUAAUUUAUAAACACAUUAAAGAACAGUGACCCUAAAAUUGAGCUCUGCGGAAUCCCACUGGUGACUGGUUACCAGCCUGAUGUAACCCUAUUUACUAUUAAUGUAACCCUUUGAGCCCAACCCAUCAGCCAAUUGCUCCCCAAGAUACAACAGUCUAGCUGUGUGCUGGACAGUUUAUCCAAAGAGAUACUCUGAGAGACAGUAUCAAAAGCUUUGCUAAAACCCAAACCUGACACAGCUACUGACUUCUCUUGGUCAACUAGAUGGGUGACAUUGUUAUGAAAAGAAAUUAAGUUGUUUAAGCAGGACUUUUCCCUUGUGAACUGAUGUUGGCUAUGACCAAUGACUGCAUUGUCUCUCAAGUGUUUUUCAGUAACUCCCAUAAUAACCUUCUGCACAAUUUUACCAGGCAAUGAGGUGAGACUGACAUGCUUGUAAUGAUCAGGGUCUUCUUUCUUACCCUUCUUGAAAAUUGGGACAACAUUUGUGAGCUUCCAGUUGACUGGGACCCCUCCAUACACCCAAAACCAUUGAAAAAUAAUGGAGAGAGGUCCCACAAUGACAUUAGCCAGCUCUUUCAGUAUCUUGGGAUGAAUCUCCUUGGGUCCCAUGUGCAUCCAGCUGGAGCAUCAAGUCUCAAACACAUUCAGGGUUGGCUGGGAGUUUAUUAUCCCCCAGUCAUGGUCCUUCAACAUGGGGCUCUGUGGUCACAGGGCACAUAAUCAGUGUUAAAGACAGAGGCAAAAAAGGUAUUAAACGUCUCUGCUUUGUCUAUUCCUAAUUGUGAGCUGACUGAACUCAUCAAGUAAUGGACCAAUGUUAUCUCUGAUCUUCUACAAAGAGAUAUCACGCACAAAAUAUAGCCAGCUGUCUUACUGCUUUUAUGAUAAUAAAUAACAUAAAACAUU